CUUGUUAGGCUCCAAGGAAAUGGGGCUGGAGGCAUGGAUUUGUACUGAUAAUCUCCUCAGAGAACUCAAGUUAUGGAUAAAGAAUGUUUAUGGAGCCUCCAGAAUAGCAGUGUUUUAUUAUUUGAAGAUUUUCAUAAGAUCAACUCUCCCUGCUGCUCUGAGAAUCAGUGAGCAUGUGCAGUUGUCUGUAACGCAGUGGAACAGAGAGGGAAGAGCAGCCCAGGUUGCAGUCAAUAAGGAGAGAGCUGAUAUUGCCAAGUAAUGAGUUUGCUGGCAAGAAAUGUAAUGACUUUUGGCACCACACGAUGUUUUAAUGCCAUCUGGUGACUCCUCAAAAUGUUACAAGAACAUUUGCCAAAACAGUCAGCUGUAAAUAAAUAAGUCUGCAGCAAGUGAAUUUUGAAUUGGUGAUCAUGAGUGUCUGCACUGGAAACCUGAUCUCAGAGUUCUGCUCAUCCAGUUAGAGAGCAGAAAUACGUCAUGUGGACCUAUGUCAUAGCAGCUUGAAUUUCCAGCUUCAAAUAUUUGCAGUGAACUUCUGGUGAACAAGAUGCAAGCCAAGAGUUUUGACCGAAAUUAUAAACCAUUUGAGAAAAUAAUGAUCUGUCCAAAGAAUACAUGCAAAGAGAAAAAGAGGUUACAGAAAUGAUCCAUAAUGAAAAUUCUUCAGCCGCCGCUGUUCAGGACCCUGAUAUCUAUCCAAAGAGCAGAAGAGAAAUAUAGAUGAAUGAAACAUAUUGGAGAUCCUUUCCGCCCCCCGCCCAUACAUUUACAGGAAAGUAUUCCUUUUCAACAGUGCGAACCCCUUAUGCUACAUGAAGGCAUCUGGGUCAAAGCCAGUCACUGGAAGCCAGGAUCCCAAAAACUUUGAUGCUGGAAACAAGAAAACAGUUUAAAGUUAUUUAUUGGAAUGUGAGAACAAUGUUUCAAACAGCAAAAAUCUCACAGAUGAUGGAGGAGAUGGACAGCUAUAGACUCAAAAUUCUGGGCAUCGGUGAGAGCAGAUUGACAGGCGUGGAUAAGUGCUUGAAGGAAGAGAAGAAACAUCUCAUUUAUUCAGGCCGUAGUGACAACAAACAUGCAGAGGGAGUAGCGCUCAUUAUGACAGAUUUUGCGGAAACAUCACUCAUCAGUUGGGAACCUAUCAACCAACGCAUUGUACACGCCAGAUUCCUAAAGAUGUCAAUCACACAGUUCUGUGCUCCAACAGAGGAACAUAGCGACGAGGAUAAAGAUGAGUUCUAUGAUUGCCUCCAAAAUGUGAUUGACAGAAUACUGAAACAUGACUUACUCCUCGUGAUGGGUGACUUAAAUGCUAAAGUAGUAUGUGAAAAACAAGGAAUGGAAAGAGCAAUGGGGUAGCAUCGGCUGGGAAUCAUCAACUAAAAUGGUGACAGACUUAUUGAACUCUAGCCGAGUUCUUGCAAAUACCCUGAUCCCUCACAAAGAUAUACACAAAAACAUGGAAUUCACCAUGUGGUAAGAUGAGAAAUCAGAUAGACCACAUGUGCAUUAGCUUGAGAUACGCCCAUGUGUCUUGGACCUGUAUCGAGCAGCAGAUACCAGCAGUAACCACAAUCUUUGCAUUGUUAAGCUAAAAUUAAAAUUGAGAGAUCAACUUUAAACAGAAAGUGGGGUAAAGAAAAUAAACAGUACAAAGCCCAAACAUAAAAGUACUGUGAGAAAUUCCAACUGGAACUAAAGAACAGCUCCAAGGCGCUACCAGAGGCAGAGGAAGAUGAGAGAGACUGAACCUGAAAUCAAAUGGGCAAUGUUCAGAGACUAAGUGAUUCAGACUAAAGCAGUCAAGGUUGGAUAACAACACUGAUAGAGAAAGAAUUGGAUAAGCCAAGAGAUAUAGCAUCUCAUUGGGGAGGGGAGCGGGGAAACACUGAAAGGAAAACUCCUGAAAGCUAAGACCAGUGAAUUACUGGUAAAAGCAAAGGAGGAGUACAAAAAAGCAGACAAAGUAGUCAAAAACAACCCAAGGAAAAAUAAGCAGAGAUGUUAAGAACCUAGCAGCUGAAGCUGCCACUGAUUGGACACCACAGAGCCAUUCACCAAGUAACUAAAACCCUGUGCGGAAAUUUCAAAAUAGGAAAUUGGCCAAUAUGGAAAAAUGUUUACAAUUGAGGUAGAACAGAAAAACAGAUGGGAACAGCAUUUCAGAGAAGUCCUCCAUGGUCUGAGCUCCAAUUCAGCAACGGAUUUCAAUGAAACACACACAUUUGAUCAACGUGACAUUAACAACAGUCCAGUAGAGAUGUCAGAAGUACAGUCUGCAAUCAAAGCUGCAAGCAGCAAGAGAUGAUCAAAUCACUGCAGAAAUGCUAAAAGAAUCUAAAUAACAUAAUCCUAACAUUGCCCAGUUUCCAGGCCAGUCCUAGCUAGUGGCCCAGC